rnacentral:rRNA from 1 species
UACGGAGGGUGCAAGCGUUGUUCGGAAUCACUGGGCGUAAAGGGCGUGUAGGCGGUCCGCUAAGUCUGAUGUGAAAGCCCGGGGCUCACCCCCGGAAGGGCAUUGGAAACUGGCGGACUCGAGUCCCGGAGAGGAAGGUGGAAUUCCUGGUGUAGCGGUGAAAUGCGCAGAUAUCAGGAAGAACACCCGUGGCUAAGGCGGCUCUCUAGUACGGUACUGACGCUGAGACGCGAAAGCGUGGGGAGCGAACAGG